rnacentral:rRNA from 1 species
AACGAACGCUGGCGGCAGGCUUAACACAUGCAAGUCGAACGCCCCGCAAGGGGAGUGGCGCACGGGUGAGUAACGCGUGGGAAUAUGCCCUUCGGUUCGGAAUAACACAGGGAAACUUGUGCUAAUAACGGAUACGAUCUACGGAUGAAAGAUUUAUCGCCGAGGGAGUAGCCCGCGUAGGAUUCGCUAGUUGGUGAGGUAAUGGCUCACCAAGGCGAGGGUCCUUAUCUGGUCUGAGAGGAAGAUAAGCCACACUGGGCCUGAGACACGGCCCAGACGCCUACGGGAGGCAGCAAUGGGGAAUAUUGGACAAUGGGCGAAAGCCUGAUCCAGCCAUGCCGCGUGAGUGAUGAAGGCCUUAGGGUUGUAAAGCUCUUUCGCCAGGGAAGAUAAUGACGGUACCCGGAAAAGAAGCCUCGGCUAACUCCGUGCCAGCCGCCGCCGUAA